UACGAAGGGGGCUAGCGUUGUUCGGAAUCACUGGGCGUAAAGCGCACGUAGGCGGAUCUUUUAAGUCAGAGGUGAAAUCCCAAGGCUCAACCUUGGAACUGCCUUUGAUACUGGGGAUCUUGAGUCCGGGAGAGGUGAGUGGAACUGCGAGUGUAGAGGUGAAAUUCGUAGAUAUUCGGAAGAACACCAGUGGCGAAGGCGACUUACUGGACACAUAUUGACGCUGAGGUGCGAAAAGCGUGGGGGAGCCAAAC
rnacentral:rRNA from 1 species